GCGCAUGUGCAAGACGUCGAUGCGUGCGCGCGUGCGUGCAUUCGUAGCAGCUCGCCCGCCCGGAUGACUCAGUGUCGAUUCGGCUGGCGGCGAGUGAGGAUCUGUCGCUCUCUCUUUUCGUGCAGCGGAUUUUGGCCAUUACGUUCGGAAAGCAACGGGUUUAAAGCGGAGACGAAGGACCCACUCAGAGGGAGGAGGACCACCACCGGGAGGGGCCACGUCAGCAGGAUCUGGCGAGACUGACAAGGAGUCUCUCCGGAGAAUUCGCGAGGGGCAUGAGUCAUGGCACCACGGCGAGGAUCCGGCUGAAGUUCCUCUGUUUUUUUUAAGUUUUAGUUUUUUUUUUUUAAUUAUUCCUACGUCUUUCCUUGUUUCCUUAUCCUCUCCUUUCUCUCUCCCCUCACUCUCUCCUCUCGACCUCACCUUAAUCCCACUCGUAUCGACCUGACCUUACCUCCUCUCAACUUACCCUCGAUUUCGCCCUACCUCCUUCUCCCUCUCUCCUUCUCUCCCUCUCUCCCUCUCUCCCUCUCUCCCUCUCUCCCUCUCUCCCUCAACCUCCACCAUGGAGAGCGGGCGGUCUUUCUCUCACCGCAACCUCCUCGCCGCCCUCGCUGUGCUGGUGGGCGUGAUCAUAUUUCAUCCAAGUCUGCUCCACCUCCUGGUGAGGAGCGAGGAAGCAGCGGAGGAAUUGAACUACGUCAGGGACUUCUUCCUGUGGACGAGGUGAGUCCUGGGCGAGAGACGUGAGGCGCGCGUGAGUUGGGCCUGGCUCUGACGUCAGCUAUUGUUAUUGUUAUU